rnacentral:rRNA from 1 species
AGUGAACGCUGGCGGUAGGCCUAACACAUGCAAGUCGAACGGCAGCACAGUAAGAGCUUGCUCUUACGGGUGGCGAGUGGCGGACGGGUGAGGAAUACAUCGGAAUCUACUUUUUCGUGGGGGAUAACGUAGGGAAACUUACGCUAAUACCGCAUACGACCUACGGGUGAAAGCAGGGGAUCUUCGGACCUUGCGCGAUUGAAUGAGCCGACUUCGGAUUAGCUAGUUGGCGGGGUAAAGGCCCACCAAGGCGACGAUCCGUAGCUGGUCUGAGAGGAUGAUCAGCCACACUGGAACUGAGACACGGUCCAGACUCCUACGGGAGGCAGCAGUGGGGAAUAUUGGACAAUGGGCGCAAGCCUGAUCCAGCCAUACCGCGUGGGUGAAGAAGGCCUUCGGGUUGUAAAGCCCUUUUGUUGGGAAAGAAAAGCAGCAGGUUAAUACCCCGCUGUUCUGACGGUACCCAAAGAAUAAGCACCGGCUAACUUCGUG